rnacentral:rRNA from 1 species
GAUGAACGCUAGCUACAGGCUUAACACAUGCAAGUCGAGGGUCUGCUUUUAGCAGACGACCGGCGCACGGGUGAGUAACGCGUAUCCAACCUGCCCUUCAUAUUGGUAUAGCCUCCCGAAAGGGAGAUUUAAUCCCCGAAUAACAUACCAAAGUUGCCUGAUUUUGGUAUGAAAGCUCCGGCGAUGAAGGAUGGGGAUGCGUUCCAUUAGGUAGUAGGCGGGGUAACGGCCCACCUAGCCGACGAUGGAUAGGGGUUCUGAGAGGAAGGUCCCCCANACUGGAACUGAGACACGGUCCAGACUCCUACGGGAGGCAGCAGUGAGGAAUAUUGGUCAAUGGGC